AAACAAUACGAAUAUAAACUAUACAGUUGGUCUUUUCAUUACGUUUUGCGGCGAGAGGGAAUCCAGUGCAACAAGAUUCAAUAUUUUUCUGAUUAUAUUAUACAUUAUGUCGGCCGGAACGACCCGAACGAUAAUGCUACUAUGUCCACAACGUAUGUACAAGACACGACAACGGCAGCUCCGAUCCGCAACAUUGACCGUUUGUUGCCGUUUCUCUCUAUCUUACGUCCGGUGAAUAGAUCAACGAAAAGAACCGAUUGGCCUUUCUAGGCCGCAGUUUUGCCACGAUAUUGUUUGUUUUGUAUCUGUCGGUGAAAGUUGAAAAGGACUCAAAAAAAUUCAAUCAUAUCUUAACGGUGGAUUGUUGUGGUACGACCUAAAGGUUUUUCUCGGCCAUUCUUGUGACUUAAAUUCGGUGAGUAGUAUUUUAUUACCAUUACCCAUAAUUGCUUUUUGAAGUAUAUAUCGUAUUAAACAAAAUGUUGUUGUACCUGUCACUUGUACCCAAAUGUGGAAUGAUACUGUUGAUAAUGUUCUAAAUGUUCCCCGCACUUUUCAGUUUGUUUGAUAAUGGUUUAUCAAUUAUUAUACAAUUUGGAUACCUAUCUCUUAAGUUUAAUUUUGUCUAAUAAAUGGUUUAAAUUUGUUUUCAUCAGAAACAAUUCUUUAAGGAUGUUGUUAUUUCAUUAAUUUGUAUUCUGUCUUGAGAUUUACAUUUUGUUACAUUUUUAAUAACUAGUGUCCAGUGAUUAACCAACUACAUGCAGUUGUAUAUUUAGUAGUUUAAAUAGAAAUGUUAAGAUUCAAUAUUUUUAAUUGUAAGUAGGUAAACUAUUACCUUAAUACCUAAAUUUAAUAAUACAUUUAGCAUUUUAAUGUGUACACAAAUACAAUAUUAAAAAUACUUUUCAUUUUCAAAAUAGUAAAAUAUAAAAACUAAAUAACCAAAUUUCAUUUAUUUUGUUAACAUAGGUAAAUUAUAAAUGCAUUUAUUUUAUAAUAUUAUAUUAGGUAUAUGUUUUUUUAAAAAAUUUACUCCAUAAAAACCUCCAUAUGUUCAAAAAUUGUACAUAAAAAAUAAAUUACCUUUAUUGUUCAAUUUGAAUUUCAUGUUUCCAAUAACUGAAUAGUAGUUACUUAAGUAUAUUAGUCUAAUGAAUCUAAUGACCUUGAAGUUUUUCUAUGACUACCUAUAUGAAUAUAAUUUUAAUAAGAUGUAUUACUCUAAAGAAUUAUAAUAUAAUAACCUUUAUAAUAUAGGUGCCUAAUACAUAUCAGUACUGCAUACAUCAUAAGUCACAAAAAGCAAAUCUGUAGUAUGAAAACUAUCAUGCUGGUCAUACAUUAAAUUAAAUUAAACUAAAUAUUCUUUUUAAAUUGAGCAGACCAAUGCUUAUUUUAAUUUUAGUUGUUGGAUUUUGAUUUUUUUGGUUUUUGAUAAUUUUUUUAACCAAAUAAUUAUGUAUUAUUGUUAAUAAAUGAGUUAUGUUUUAUGUAAAACUGAAAAUUAUAUAUUAAAACUAUAAAAGUAUUUAAUACACUAAGGUAUUAUAAUGAGUACCUAAGUGGGUUGUGGAUAAAAAUUGUACCCCAUUACCCCUGUUGAUUUGAAACUUGCCUCUCCUCCAAAGAACUGUGAUAAAUCUGUCACUGACAUUUAUUAUAUUUAACUGUAGUUUGACCAAACCAUUGAUGACCUACAUAUUUUUAAAAUUAAUAUAAUAUUGUACAUAUUUAAAUAAUUUGAACUCCUUCAAUCUAUGUAUUAAUAAUAUUUAUAAAUUAUAAAAGAAAAAUUAAGUUACUUAUGUAAAUAAAAAAGUGUUAGUAUUAUUUUUCCUAAAUAAAAUGCAUUAAAUAUUUUUAAAAAAGUAGUUAUAAAAAUGAUAAAAUUAAACAAAAUUAAAAAAUACAACUUAAAAAAAGAGCUUGAAAGGAUUAUAAAUAAUAUAAGAUUGUACUUCUCUCAUUUUAAGCAUCAUAUAUUUGUAUUUCUUUCAGUGUAUUUUUUGUCUUAAACAACUACCAUGUCUAGUUAUAAUGACUACCAACAUUGGCCUCAAGAAUCUGCUUCAAAUACAGAUGAAGAUGAAUUAUCGUCACCUGAAAUUGAACAAGACGAAAGUAAUGAUGACACUGAAUCAUCAACAACAAGUACUAGUACAUCAGCUACUAGUAGUAGUGGUAGUAGUCAAUCAGGUUCAGAUUCUGAAAGUACUAGUACUGCCGAUGAAGAUGAAACUAUAUCACUAAAAACUGAAACAGCUUUAGCCAAUAAAACUGAACUUGUUUUACCAGUUGGGAUGUGUGAAGAUGAAGAAGUGUUCAAACAAUUAUUUUCUGUUAAUUCUUGGGUGUGCCUAAGUGAUCAGCAAAAACAACAUUUAAAGGUAUAUAAUUACAUUUCUACA
rnacentral:lncRNA from 1 species